rnacentral:rRNA from 1 species
GACGAACGCUGGCGGCGUGCCUAACACAUGCAAGUCGAACGGAGAUUUCAGCAAUGAAAUCUUAGUGGCGAACGGGUGAGUAACGCGUAGACAACCUACCUUCUAGAUGGGGACAACACCGCGAAAGUGGUGCUAAUACCGAAUGUUGUAGUGAGAAUGCAUAUUCUUACUACUAAAGAUGGCCUCUAUUUAUAAGCUAUCGCUAGAAGAUGGGUCUGCGUCUGAUUAGCUAGUUGGUGAGGUAAUGGCUCACCAAGGCGACGAUCAGUAGCCGGUCUGAGAGGAUGAACGGCCACACUGGGACUGAGACACGGCCCAGACUCCUACGGGAGGCAGCAGUGGGGAAUCUUCCGCAAUGGACGAAAGUCUGACGGAGCAACGCCGCGUGAGUGAAGAAGGUUUUCGGAUCGUAAAACUCUGUUUUCAGGGACGAAUGUGCAGAUUGUGAAUAAUGAUUUGUAAUGACGGUACCUGAGUAGAAAGCCACGGCUAACUACGUGCCAGCCGCCGCAGUAAUAC